rnacentral:rRNA from 1 species
UACAGAGGGGGCAAGCGUUGUUCGGAAUUACUGGGCGUAAAGGGCGCGUAGGCGGCCUGCUAAGUCGAUCGUGAAAUCCCCGGGCUUAACCCGGGAACUGCGACCGAUACUGGUUGGCUUGAAUUCGGGAGAGGGAUGCGGAAUUCCAGGUGUAGCGGUGAAAUGCGUAGAUAUCGGGAGGAACACCAGUGGCGAAGGCGACUUCCUGGCCUGUUCUUGACGCUGAGGCGCGAAAGCUAGGGGAGCAAACGGG